rnacentral:rRNA from 1 species
UACAGAGGGGGCAAGCGUUGUUCGGAAUUACUGGGCGUAAAGGGCGCGUAGGCGCCUUCUAAGUCGAACGUGAAAUCCCCGGGCUCAACCCGGGAACUGCGUCCGAUACUGGAAGGCUUGAAUCCGGGAGAGGGAUGCGGAAUUCCAGGUGUAGCGGUGAAAUGCGUAGAUAUCUGGAGGAACACCGGUGGCGAAGGCGGCAUCCUGGACCGGCAUUGACGCUGAGGCGCGAAAGCCAGGGGAGCAAAG